GAUGAACGCUAGCGGCAUGCCUAAUACAUGCAAGUCGAACGAGAUACAACUUUGUAUCUAGUGGCGAACGGGUGAGUAACACGUAUUUGAUCUACCCCCAAGUGGGGAAUAACAAUUGGAAACGAUUGAUAAUACCGCAUAUGACAUAAAUUCGUUUUUAUGUUGAAAGGAGCGUCAGCUUCGCUUGUGGAUGAGAAUGCGCGUAUAGUAGUUGUGGGUAAAUGCCUACCAAGACAUGAUACGUAGCCGAACUGAGAGGUUGAUCGGCCACAUCGGGACUGAGACACGGCCCGGGACUUCUACGGAAGGCAGGCAGUAAGGAAUUUUUCACAAUGGGCGAAAGCCUGAUGAAGCAA
rnacentral:rRNA from 1 species